AAUACAUUUUUUUGUAAAAAUAUAAAACAUUUUGUAGCAGGUUUUAACCUCAUUUGUUAAUUAAAUAUAAAGGAGUGCUGGUAAAUGAAAAUGGAAAAAUAUGUUUUAAUAUAAAGUGAUUUUGUCUGAAACUCUUCCAGCUGGUCUGACUGUGAGUCCCAGCAGAUCUCAGUUCUUUGAAGGAGAAUCAGUGACUCUGAACUGUGAGGACGACAGUUCUGCAGGAUGGACUCUGUGGAGGAACACCAGAGAAGGAACCUGGAAUCAGUGUGAGGAGUGGGGAUCAGGAGAUGGCUCCUCUUGUACCAUCAGCUACAUGUAUCCAUCAGACAGUGGAGUUUACUGGUGUGAGUUUGGAGGGGGAGGAGCCAGCAGCAUGGUGGUUAACAUCAGUGUCUCUGGUAAGAUCAGACUGUGGAGUUAGUGUUGCUGCAGCUGUGUGCAGAUGGAUGAAAUGCUUUGUCUCUGUGUUGAGGUGGAUCAGUGAUCCUGCAGAGUCCUGUCCUCCCUGUGAUGGAGGGUCAUGACCUCACUCUGAGCUGUCAAUCAGAGACCCCUCCCUCCAACCCCUCAGCUGCUUUCUAUAAAGAUGGCUCCCUCAUCAGGACUGAGCCUACAGGUCACAUGACCCUCCAGCAUGUUUCCAGGUCUGAUGAAGGUCUCUACAAGUGUCACAUCAGGGGUCAUGGAGAGUCUCCAUCCAGCUGGAUCUCUGUCUCAGAGAAACCAACAACCACCUCUGCUCCUUCAACCACCUCUGAUCCUCCUCCUCCUCCUCCUCCUCCUCUCUAUAUCUGGUUACCUGCUGUGUGUGUUGGUGUUCUGGUUCUGCUGGUUCUGGUUCUUCUGGUUGGACGACGUGUUCUCAGGAAGUCUGAAGGUGAGGUUCAGUUUUAAACGUCAGAGCAAAAACUGAUAAAGACAGAGAAAUGUAAAUAUUUCAUGUUUUUUCAAUCAGCUGAUGGACCACCAGAUGUUACAUACGCUGACAUCAACAUCAAGCUCCACCCCCAGCAGCCAAUCAGACGCAGUACAGGUAGACUUUCAUGAGUUUUUCAUCUUUAAAAUUUUAAUGAUAAAUCUGUUUAAAUGUUAUUUCUGUGGAUCUAAAGAAACUUUGAUUAU
rnacentral:lncRNA from 1 species